rnacentral:rRNA from 1 species
AUUGAACGCUGGCGGCAGGCCUAACACAUGCAAGUCGAACGAGUGGCGGACGGGUGAGUAAUGUCUGGGAAACUGCCUGAUGGAGGGGGAUAACUAAUGGAAACGGUAGCUAAUAACGCAUACCAUCGGAUGUGCCCAGAUGGGAUUAGCUAGGAGGUGGGGGAAAGGCUCACCGAGGCGACGCUCCCUAGCUGGUCUGAGAGGAGGACCAGCCACACUGGAACUGGGACACGGUCCAGACUCCUACGGGAGGCAGCAUUGGGGAAUAUUGCACAAUGGGCGCAAGCCUGAUGCAGCCAUGCCGCGUGUAUUAAGAAGGCCUUCGGGUUGUAAAGUACUGUCAGCGGGGAGGCGUUACCCGCAGAAGAAGCACCGGCUAACUCCGUGCCAGCAGCCGCGGUAAUAC